GAUGAACGCUAGCGGGAGGCCUAACACAUGCAAGCCGAGCGGUAGAGUUUCUUCGGAAACUUGAGAGCGGCGCACGGGUGCGUAACACGUGUGCAACCUACCUUUAUCUGGGGAUAGCCUUUCGAAAGGAAGAUUAAUACCCCAUAAUAUAAUGAUUGGCAUCAAUUAUUAUUGAAAACUCCGGUGGAUAGAGAUGGGCACGCGCAAGAUUAGAUAGUUGGUGAGGUAACGGCUCACCAAGUCAAUGAUCUUUAGGGGUCCUGAGAGGGAGAUCCCCCACACUGGUACUGAGACACGGACCAGACUCCUACGGGAGGCAGCAGUGAGGAAGAUUGGACAAUGGGUGAGAGCCUGAUCCAGCCAUCCCGCGUGAAGGAUGACGGCCCUAUGGAUUGUAAACUUCUUUUGUACAGGGAUAAACCUACCCUCGUGAGGGUAGCUGAAGGUACUGUACGAAUAAGCACCGGCUAACUCCGUG
rnacentral:rRNA from 1 species